GGGGAUGAUCGGUUUUGCUAAGAAGAUAUUUUGAUCUACUUGCUUUUACGGGACCCCUAUACUCCCGGUAGAUCCGUGUAGGGACAAACAAUUGCAGCUAAAUUAGCUCGUGCUCGUAGUUUUGAGUUGGCCUCAUGUGGUAACACACUUGCGAUCGCUUAAAGUUAUGGGUUUCCCUGUACCAUUUGGCGCAGGGCAGUAAAUAAGACCCUUGUGCAUAUCAAAGACUUAUUUGCUGUCACCUUCUGAUAUGACUCUUGAGGAAACCUUUCCGCACUCAAGAAAAUUAGGAAAGACCGGAAAAGAAGCUUUUUGUUUAUUUUUUAUUUCUUUUUCGUCACUCAAAAUAAACUACAAAUGUAGACGGUAAUUAAGAUUCUUUUUAUACGGCAGUUCGAUUCUGCCCAUCUCCACCA
rnacentral:tmRNA from 1 species